rnacentral:rRNA from 1 species
GUGGCCAGCCGCCGCGGUAAUACCGGCAGCCCGAGUGAUGGCCGAUCUUAUUGGGCCUAAAGCGUCCGUAGCUGGCUACGCAAGUCCGUCGGGAAAUCCACUCGCCCAACGAGUGGGCGUCCGACGGAAACUGCAUAGCUUGGGACCGGAAGGCUCGAAGGGUACGUGCGGGGUAGGAGUGAAAUCCCAUAAUCCCGCACGGACCACCGAUGGCGAAAGCACUUCGAGAAAACGGAUCCGACAGUGAGGGACGAAAGCCAGGGUCUCCAGCCGGAUUAGAAACUCUGUAGUCC